GGAGGAGGACCUGGAGGAGGACCUGGAGGAGAAGGCCGUCCCUCAGAGCCUGUCCUCCUCAGAAGCUCCUCUGAGGUUCUUUUGAGCAGACGGAUGUCCUUCAGCUGGAGCGUGUCCUAGUCCUUCCGUCCAGAUGAGCGAGCAGCCGCCUCCGUAUCGUCCUUUCUUCCCUGAAGGACCGCCGUCCUCCCCAUUCCCUCCUGACAUUUCCUCAAACCUUCACUGGAGGAGACCAAACCUUUUAUAGUCCAGGACCUGCUGGGCCAAUUGGGACUUCGGUGACUCAGUCGGGUUACCAUAGUAACCAUGGUGACCAUCAUGGUAACAAACAACCACCAAAACAUCCAGUGUACCUGGUGGAUCAGAGUUCUGGUCGGAGAGGCGGGAUUGGCUCCUACCUGGCGGCAUGUUCUGCUGCUCUGUGCUGCUGCUGCCUGUGGGACCUGCUUCAUCGCUAAAAGCCUGCAGCCUCACCAUCGUUUCCAGUGUCAUUGACUCAUUCGUUCCUACUGUUUUGGUGGAUUUGUUACUACAAACAAACAGAAAUAUAAAAUCCUUCAUCAGGGUCACCUGGUUUUAAUGGGAUCUACUAACAGUACUACAAACAGAGGAUGGUGAAAUCUGCUGAAAACCCUUUAGGUUCCCAUUUUUCUAACAUUAAUACUUUAAAAGUUGUAUUCUCAGCUUCCUUCUGUAACAUUUGAUCUCCUUUCAUUAAGAUUAAAAAUGUGAUCAAGUGUU